rnacentral:lncRNA from 1 species
AAUAUUUUUAACUUGUAGCUGAUGACCGAUAUGGAUAAAACAUUGAUAAUCUUAUCUUUCAGCUGUAUUGUAUAUAUUGCUAUUUUUAUGCCCCCUUAUGCACCCAGAAAUACUUCAUGAAGUAUGCAAUGAGCUCAUUGUCAUUAAUUAUGUGAGAGUUGGACUUGUCAAUAUUAGUGAACUUCAGAGAACUUCCCUGAUAUGGACAAUCUAAACUUGACCAUUCCCCAUCCAGGAACAUGUAUACAUAUAUAUAUUUAGUAAUGUUUUAUUACAGGAAUCAGUGAAAUUUAUAUAAUGUUUUCACCAUAAUUUUUUUGUAUAUAUAUUGUAAUAUUUCAUUGACAGAAAUCAGAAAUUCAAUUGUUGGUAUAUGAUGUGUGUAUUAUAUUAAUCAUUUUUAUGAUGCAUUUUGUAUUUUAAUUGAAGAUUGCAGGAGCAAUCUUGGCGACGAAGGGAAGGGUAUAACCAGUAUAUUUUAGAUGCAAGAAUGUUAAAAUGUGGAAUUCAAAUAAUUGUUAUAAUUUAGUAUUAUAGUUAAGAUAUUUAGCACUAGCUUAAGAAAUAAUUUACUUGAUAAAUAGUUAAUAUAAAUCUUCACAAUUUUAGAUAAGUGUAAAGCAAAUUAUUAUGUAAUCCCCUGAGGCCUAAAUGACAAUAGAGAAUUAAGGAUUAAAGAAGUGUUAUAUAUACAAAAAGGAUUUCUUACUUUUUAAGAUGAUUUAAGUUAUGUCACAAAGACUUGAUAUUUGGGAAUAUAGAUAAAUAAGCAUUAUUAUGUAAAUUAGCUAUUUGAGUAUUAAUGUUAUGUAAAUUGAAUAAUGAAACAAUAUAUAUUAGUUGACCAUGUAGUUAGGGACACUUAUUUGACAGUCACGUAUUGGACACUUGUGUUUUAUACUUGGAUUUAGACAGUUGUAUUGAAUUGAUAUUAGACAUGC